rnacentral:rRNA from 1 species
ACGGAGGGUGCAAGCGUUAUCCGGAAUCAUUGGGUUUAAAGGGUCCGCAGGCGGAUUUAUAAGUCAGUGGUGAAAUCCUGCAGCUCAACUGCAGAACUGCCAUUGAUACUGUAAGUCUUGAAUUUGAUCGGAGUGGGCGGAAUGUGUAGUGUAGCGGUGAAAUGCAUAGAUAUUACACAGAACACCGAUAGCGAAGGCAGCUCACUAGGUUAUAAUUGACGCUCAUGGACGAAAGCGUGGGGAUCAAACAGGAUUAGAUACCCUGGUAGUCCACGCCGUAAACGAUGAUUACUCGUUCUUGACAGCAAUGUCAGGGACCAAGCGAAAGUGAUAAGUAAUCCACCUGGGGAGUACGAUCGCAAGGUUG